rnacentral:rRNA from 1 species
GAUGAACGCUGGCGGCGUGCUUAACACAUGCAAGUCGAACGAAGCACUCAUGACAGAUUCUUCGGAUGAUGGAUUGAUUGACUGAGUGGCGGACGGGUGAGUAACGCGUGGGUAAACCUGCCUCAUACAGGGGGAUAACAGUUAGAAAUGACUGCUAAUACCGCAUAAGCGCACAGUACCGCAUGGUACGGUGUGAAAAACUCCGGUGGUAUGAGAUGGACCCGCGUCUGAUUAGCUAGUUGUGGGUAACGGCCUACCAAGGCGACGAUCAGUAGGGGUUCUGAGAGGAAGGUCCCCACAUUGGAACUGAGACACGGUCCAAAC